rnacentral:rRNA from 1 species
AAUCAACGCUGGCGGCGUGCCUAACACAUGCAAGUCGAACGCGAAAGUGGAGCAAUCCAUGAGUAGAGUGGCAAACGGGUGAGUAACACGUGGGUGACCUGCCUUCGAGUGGGGGAUAACCUUCCGAAAGGGGGGCUAAUACCGCAUGACAUACCGUGUUUAGAUACAUGGAUAUCGAAGCUGGGGAUCGCAAGACCUGGCGCUUGAAGAGGGACUCGCGUCCGAUUAGCUAGUUGGUGAGGUAAUGGCUCACCAAGGCUCCGAUCGGUAUCCGGCCUGAGAGGGCGGACGGACACACUGGAACUGAGACACGGUCCAGACUCCUACGGGAGGCAGCAGUGGGGAAUUGUUCGCAAUGGGCGAAAGCCUGACGACGCAACGCCGCGUGGAGGAUGAAGAAUUUCGGUUCGUAAACUCCUUUCGACCGAGAUGAACACCCACUGAUUUAAUACAUCGGUGGACUGACAGUAUCGAGAGAAGAAGCCCCGGCUAACUCCGUGCCAGCAGCCGCGGUAAUACGGGGGGGGCAAGCGUUGUUCGGAAUUACUGGGCGUAAAGGGUUCGUAGGUGGCCAUUGGUAUCAGACGUGAAAUCCCUCAGCUCAACUGGGGAACUGCGUCUGAAACUGGGUGGC